UAGGGAAUAUUGCGCAAUGGACGAAAGUCUGACGCAGCGACGCCGCGUGUGGGAGGAAGCCUUUCGGGGUGUAAACCACUGUCAGAGGGGAAGAAUCUCGUCGGUCUGAAUAUGGCCGACGGCUGACGGUACCCUCAGAGGAAGCGCCGGCUAACUCCGUGCCAGCAGCCGCGGUAAGACGGAGGGCGCAAGCGUUGUUCGGAAUUACUGGGCGUAAAGGGCGGGCAGGCGGUCCGUUAAGUCUUCUGUGAAAAUCCGGGGCUCAACCCCGUGAAAUGCAGGAGAUACUGGCGGACUAGAGACCGGUAGAGGCUAGCGGAAUUCCUGGUGUAGCGGUGGAAUGCGUAGAUAUCAGGAAGAACACCUGUGGCGAAGGCGGCUAGCUGGGCCGGAUCUGACGCUCAUCCGCGAAAGCGUGGGGAGCAAACAGG
rnacentral:rRNA from 1 species